UGCGCAGGCGGUCCCGCAAGUUAGGCGUGAAAUCCCCGGGCUUAACCUGGGAAUGGCACUUGAAACUACGGGACUGGAGUGUGGCAGAGGGAGGUGGAAUUCCACGUGUAGCGGUGAAAUGCGUAGAUAUGUGGAGGAACACCGAUGGCGAAGGCAGCCCCCUGGGUCAACACUGACGCUCAUGCACGAAAGCGUGGGGAGCAAACA
rnacentral:rRNA from 1 species